rnacentral:rRNA from 1 species
CAAUAGAAGAGAUGGCGACCGGCGCACGGGUGAGUAACACGUAUCCAACCUGCCGAUAACUCCGGGAUAGCCUUUCGAAAGAAAGAUUAAUACCGGAUAGUAUACGAAUAUCGCAUGAUAUUUUUAUUAAAGAAUUUCGGUUAUCGAUGGGAUGCGUUCCAUUAGUUUGUUGGCGGGGUAACGGCCCACCAAGACUACGAUGGAUAGGGGUUCUGAGAGGAAGGUCCCCCACAUUGGAACUGAGACACGGUCCAAACUCCUACGGGAGGCAGCAGUGAGGAAUAUUGGUCAAUGGGCGAGAGCCUGAACCAGCCAAGUAGCGUGAAGGAUGAAGGCUCUAUGGGUCGUAAACUUCUUUUAUAUGGGAAUAAAGUUUUCCACGUGUGGAAUUUUGUAUGUACCAUAUGAAUAAGGAUCGGCUAACUCCGUGCCAGCAGCCGC